rnacentral:tRNA from 1 species
GCCGAUGUGGUGGAAUUGGCAGACACGGCAGUCUCAGACUCUGUCGCCUUUUGGCAUUGGGGGUUCGAAUCCCUCCAUCGGCA